CAUGCUAGAGCACUUUUUCUAUGUGCUCCCCAACAAGAAGGCAACCGCGCAUUCGUAUGUCAAUCCAUAUCAACUUUCGAUGCCAUUAACUGCGCCUACCAUGGUGACCACGGGCAACGGGAAAUCAGGGUUCCAUUCCAUACAGGGACCCUGACAAAUGGCUACCACGUGCAAGGAAGGCAG